ACUACUUGUACAGUCUUUAAAUACACUAUAAAAUAUGACUGCAUAAGUAUAAGGCCUGUUCUUUCUUUCUUUCUGCAUUCGGCUGUUAUGGGCCUUGUAACGAAAUGAGGAGGAGGAGGAGAAGGAAGAGAAGAAAAGGAGGAGGAGAAGAAAGCUCAUAAGGAAGGACUCAGGAUAAAGAGAGAGAAUGAUCCAGUAAAUAAGCCAAAAGUGCAGCUGUAGCCCAGACAUUUUGAAAUCUAAUGAUAAAGUGAAAGAUACCCUGGCAUGUUUCAUGCACAGGUCCCCAACUCUGCAGAGCAGCUAUUGUGGGAUAGCGAGAGAGAGAGAGAGAGAUGAAAUGGUGUCACAGAGGUCGAGCUGUUUUCUUACACACUACUGAUGAGGGAUUGACUAGGUCUUUGGGCCUCCUGCUUGCCAAGGUGAAGAGGAUGUUCUGGAUCUAGGGUCAAAUACUCUAAAAUCUGCAGGAGAGGGGAAAGUACUGCAGAUUUGUGCAAGUAACCUCUGAGAAGACCCUGAUAUCGUUCCUGAGAUGGAACCGUUAGUUCCAGUGUGUGGUAUCCGGAGAACCUGGGCUAUCGUUAUCCUAGGUCCCUACAAUCUGGGGAUGUUUGGUCACCAUCAGCACAGGUGACCAUCACAGGCGACUAUGCAGAGUCCACCAUCACAAGAGAUCACACAGUCCCAGAUUCGCAGACGAGCUCCAGCGUGGUCCGAAUGAGAGGUGCAAAUGUUUCAACGCGGCCCCUAUCUACUCCAUCCCAGAGACUGGUCCAGAUUAGAA